rnacentral:rRNA from 1 species
UACGGGGGGGGCAAGCGUUGUUCGGAAUUACUGGGCGUAAAGGGCUCGUAGGCGGCCAACUAAGUCAGACGUGAAAUCCUCACUUAACUGGGGAACUGCGUCUGAUACUGGAUGGCUUGGAUUCGGGAGAGGAAUGCGGAAUUCCAGGUGUAGCGGUGAAAUGCGUAGAUAUCUGGAGGAACACCGGUGGCGAAGGCGGCAUUCUGGACCGAUAUUGACGCUGAGGAGCGAAAGCCAGGGGAGCAAACGGGG